rnacentral:lncRNA from 1 species
GGAGCUCUUUUCUGUGGUCUGCACACAGGAAGUGGCCCUGUGUGUUCGUGGGGGCUGCUCCACAGCAGCCUUGCACAUCUGGCUCUGGGAACCACAAGGCCCUACACUGUCGAUUCAUCUCUUAACUCCAGUGGGCGCCGGAUACAGUUCAAGCCCCAGCUUUUGUGUUCUUCCACAGCAUCUUGUCCUGAUGUCUCAUCGUGAAUAAGUCUAUCAGAUCUCCUCUUGGGGGUGAGGCUGGGUGGAGACGGCAGAUCUGCACGGUGGAGAAAAGAGAAGAAGGCCAGCACAGUGGCAUUGAGGAAUCCAGGGAGCUCCUGGCCAACUUGGCCUGAGUCUUGCAUUUCAGAUGAAAAAAGGAAAACUGUGGCACCUGGAGCAGAAAGCCACAUGCCUGAGCGGCCGCCUGAGAAAGCAGCACAGACCCACGCUCCGGGCUCCUGUCCGGAUGUCUGAGAGAAACUCUCCCAGCUGCAUCAGACCCAGGAAGAGAGUCCUCGGAACCUGGAAACCUGGGACCCUCCUCUGUUUCUGUGGAAACCCUGUCAACUUCCUGAGGCAGGCGCUUGGACAUUCUGCUAAAUGCUCUGAAUAUCAACGUCGUUCUCAGUAGUCUGGAUUUCAUCCAAGGACCAAGUCGGACCCGCAUCCACCCCAGACUGCUGACUUUUUCUGCCUUUAUUACCUUUUUGCCCUGAAAUUUUCAUCUAUUAGUUUUUUCAUCCUGAUCCAUCAUAUAUAUUUAGUUGCUGUAAGUGAAUAAAUGCAACUGUUAUAAGUGAAUAAAUCA